AUGGACAGGAUCUUGGCUUUCUCGAUCCUCAGCUCCUCGCCCGCGGACAUCCCGGGUGCCGGCUACAGCACGCCCACGCGCCUUUCCUGGAGGGGUGGCAGCGGGGAGCAGCCGGAGAAAGCGGCGGACAAGCAUCGGCAGGAGGAGAAGGUCAACCAGGGCUCUCGGCCGGAGAAGAAGCCGGAGGUGCGGUUCGCCCCGGAGUUCGACGGCAUCAACUGCUUCGAGUCCAUCAUCUCCUUUUGA
rnacentral:rRNA from 1 species